GUUUUUUGUGGCAUUUCUUUCCUUCUGGCCACCCUUAUUUCACCCUUCGUAUAAUUAUUUUAUCCUUAUUGUGGUUGUAUUUCUUGGAGACCAUGGACGUAGAUUUAGAUCGAGUUUUAAAGGGAUGCUACUGAUUUAACUGGAAUUAAUGCAAGCACUUGCUUAAGACUGCCGUUACGGAGAAAUCCAUCAUUAUAGAUGUAUUAAGGCACUUGGGCACUUGAUGUAAAGAAGGAUGCUCUUAGUUGUAGGAAAGCUAAUUAUAUCAGUCGCUUGAGAGACUAUCAAACAGCAAGUGGCAGCAAAA